AACGAACGCUGGCGGCAUGCCUAACACAUGCAAGUCGAACGAGACCUUCGGGUCUAGUGGCGCACGGGUGCGUAACGCGUGGGAACCUGCCCUUAAGUUCGGAAUAACUCCCCGAAAGGGGUGCUAAUACCGGAUAAUGUCUUCGGACCAAAGAUUUAUCGCCUUUGGAUGGGCCCGCGUUGGAUUAGCUAGUUGGUAGGGUAAAAGCCUACCAAGGCGACGAUCCAUAGCUGGUCUGAGAGGAUGAUCAGCCACACUGGGACUGAGACACGGCCCAGACUCCUCCGGGAGGCAGCAGUGGGGAAUAUUGGACAAUGGGCGAAAGCCUGAUCCAGCAAUGCCGGGUGAGUGAUGAAGGCCUUAGGGUUGUAAAGCUCUUUUACCCGGGAUGAUAAUGACAGUACCGGGAGAAUAAGCUCCGGCUAACUCCGU
rnacentral:rRNA from 1 species